CGUAUCCUUACUACUUGGACAACCGUAGUAAUUCUAGAGCUAAUACAUGCAUAAAUACCACGUAGUGGUAGCGCUUAUUAGAUUGAAACCAACUUCCUUCGGGAAGAUUUAGGUGACUCACAAUAACUUUGCGAAUCGCAUGCUUUUUGCGGCGAUGGACGAAUCGAGCUUCUGCCCUAUCAGCUUUGAUGGCAGGGUAUUGGCCUGCCAUGGCUUUAACGGGUAACGGAGAAUUAGGGUUCGAUUCCGGAGAGGGAGCCUGAGAAACGGCUACCACAUCUAAGGAAGGCAGCAGGCGCGAAAAUUACCCAAUACUAAUACAGUGAGGUAGUAACAAUAAAUAACACAGCCCAGCAUUUCAUGUUGGGCUUUUGGAAUGAGAACAAUUUAAAUCCAUUAUCGAGGAUCAAUUGGAGGGCAGGUCUGGUGCCAGCAGCCGCGGUAAUUCCAGCUCCAAUAGCGUAUAUUAAAGUUGCUGCAGUUAAAAAGCUCGUAGUUGGAUUUCUAGCGAGGCACGAGAAUAUCCACCUAUGGUGAAUACUUCUCUCGCCUUGCUCUUCUUUAGUUGAUGUCUCUGGCAUUAAGUUGUCGGAGUCCUGAGACUAAUCGUUUACUGUGAGAAAAUUAGAGUGUUCAAAGCAGGCUUAUGCCGUUGAGUAUAUUAGCAUGGAAUAAUAAGAUAGGACUUCGGUACUAUUUUGUUGGUUUGCGUACUGAUGUAAUGAUAAAUAGGGACUGGCGUGGGUAUUCGUAUUUUAAUGUCAGAGGUGAAAUUCUUAGAUUAUUGAAAGACGGACGACUGCGAAAGCAUCUACCAAGUAUGUUUUCAUUAAUCAAGAACGAAAGUAUGGGGAUCGAAGAUGAUUAGAUACCAUCGUAGUCUAUACCAUAAACUAUGCCGACUCAGGUGGUCUGUCGAUUUAACGAUAGACUAAACUGUAUAGAAAUCAAGUCUUUGGGUU
rnacentral:rRNA from 1 species